UUUCCACAUCUGUAAAUGGAGUUAGCAAUAAUAUAUAAUUUAUUCAUUGGGGGGACAAUGACAUACUAUAAUAGUUUUGAGUUCCUAACUUACUUCCUGGUAUAUUGCAUUUAUCAUACCCCUUACAGUUGUUUAUAAUGUCAUUAAAGUGUCUUUUCCCCUUGUAAAUUCAAGAAUUGUUAUUACAGUCUUUAGUGAACAAUAGGUACUUAAGAAAAUAUACUUUCAAUAAUUUAUUCACAAAUACUGUUUAUUGAGUGACUACUUCAUGCUGCAUACUCUUCUUGGAUAUAGAGGAUACACUAUAAUGAAUGUAAAUAUUGCUUCUAUACAGUGAUGGAGAUAGAUAUAAACAGAUAAUCAAGGAAGCAAAAAUAAACAAAAGCCUCUAUAGCUAUGAUAGCUUAUAAUGUUGUAAGAAAGAAAAUAAAAAGGAAUUAUGACACAGUGACCAUAUCAUGUUUGAGGGUGUGAAGAUAAUGAUAACAUUUGUAUUUGUUUAAAUACCCAUCAAUAUCACAUAUUUUAUUAGCAACAUCUUCUUUGUAAUGACAGAUAUAGCAUGUGUCAUGUGUAUUUGCAAUAAUUUCUGGCAAGUUUCUAAGGGAGACAGAUCCUGUUCAAUGUUAAAAAGCAGGGUAGUGUGGAAAGAGUGAUCCUUUCCAGCUCUACCCUUUCCAGAGUGCUAGUUCUUGGCAUGCUGCACUCUGGCUGCCCCAGAACUCGUGUGAGUGGGAGUGUAUGAGGUACAGUCAGACUAUUUCCUUGCUGGGUCACUCAGGGUCAUGACAACAGAGAUGUCACACUCAGAUGAUUUGGGCAAGGAGAUGUUCAGAAGUAGAACAAUCACUGAGGUGAGGAGAGUUCAGUGAUCAAAGUCUACUGAAGUGUCAGACUGGUGUGGCUGCUGUGAUCAUAGCAAUGGCCAUUAGACACAAACAGCAGAAUAGCAAAGCAAUUGUAGGGCCAGAAAUGCCCAGUCAUGUCCUCUUUUACUUCUCAUUUUCCUGGUGGACACUCUCAUUAACCAAAAUGAAAAUGAAAGACAAAGAAUAAGGAAGCCUCAGUGAUGCAACCCAUAAAAGGCAAUGUCUUAUUCUGUAUUCUGUGGCUAUAAUAAAAUACCUGAGUCUGGCUGCUUUAUAAAAAAAAAGUUUACUUGGCUCACAGUUCUGGAGGUUUAAAUUCCAUGACUGGGUAACUAUUUGUUCAGCUUUCAUAACUCAUGGCAUCACAAUGGUGGGAGCCUGUGAAGAGGUGAUCAGAUGGUGGGGAGUGGCUAGCCUUGCUCUUUUUAUAAUAACUCGCUCUGGUGAGAACUUGUUC
rnacentral:lncRNA from 1 species